rnacentral:rRNA from 1 species
GGUUAAGUUACAAAGGGCGCACGGUGGAUGCCUUGGCACUAGGAGCCGAUGAAGGACGGAACUAAUACCGAUAUGCUUCGGGGAGCUAUAAGUAA